rnacentral:rRNA from 1 species
UAGGUCGACCCGCUGAACUUAAGCAUAUCAAUAAGCGGAGGAAGAGAAACCAACCAGGAUUCCCUUAGUAACGGCGAGCGAAGUGGGAAGAGCUCAGGCUGCCAAUCUCCGACCGAGAGGUCGGUGAAUUGUGGUCUGGAGACGCCAACUGUCCUUGCUUGCUUCUCUGGCCCGAAGUUGACCUGGAAUGGCGCGUCAGAGAGGGUGACAGUCCCGUAGGGCCGUGAGUGGGAAGUGGGUGGAUGUAAUUUGGCGCUCAGCGAGUCGGGUUGUUUGGGAAUGCAGCCCAAAGCGGGUGGUAAACUCCAUCCAAAGCUAAACAGCGGCACGAGACCGAUAGCGAACAAGUACC